UCAGAGAGUCUGGGUAAGGGGUAAAUUACGCAAUGGGAAGGUGUUAGGCACCCACUACGUCCUAGGUACUCCUAGGGAGCCCUUUUCACACUUGUUGUACUAAAUUGUUAUUUGUUAUGACAUAAGCAUUGUGCAAACAUGAUUGGGAUGGUGAGAAAAGAAUAUACAAUUUUAUUAUUGGGUUUGAACGGAUGAACCCGCUGCCUACGUACCUUCCAUCAAAGGUAAGGAUCAAAACGCCGUAGUUCGGCUAAAAGAUUUCCAAAAG
rnacentral:lncRNA from 1 species